UGGGGAAUCUUGCGCAAUGGGCGAAAGCCUGACGCAGCAACGCCGCGUGGGGGACGACGGCCUUCGGGUUGUAAACCUCUUUCAGCGGGGACGAAGUCGGCACGGUGAAUAGUCGUGUCCGGUGACGCUACCUGCAGAAGAAGCCCCGGCUAACUACGUGCCAGCAGCCGCGGUAAUACGUAGGGGGCGAGCGUUGUCCGGAAUCAUUGGGCGUAAAGCGCGUGUAGGCGGCUUGGUCAGUCCGGCGUGAAACCUCGGGGCUCAACCCCGAGCCUGCGUUGGAUACUGCCUCGCUUGAGUCCGGGAGGGGAGAGCGGAAUUCCCAGUGUAGCGGUGAAAUGCGCAGAUAUUGGGAAGAACACCGGUGGCGAAGGCGGCUCUCUGGAACGGUACUGACGCUGAGACGCGAAAGCGUGGGGAGCAAACAGG
rnacentral:rRNA from 1 species